AAUCAACGCUGGCGGCGUGCCUAACACAUGCAAGUCGAACGAGAAAGUGGAGCAAUCCAUGAGUAAAGUGGCGACCGGGUGAGUAACACGUGACUAACCUACCCUAAAGUGGGGAAUAACCUCGGGAAACCGGGGCUAAUACCGCAUAACAUUGCGCGGCUGAAAGGCCAUGCAUUCAAAGGAGCAAUUCGCUUUUAGGGAGGGGGUCGGCGGUU
rnacentral:rRNA from 1 species